ensembl:lncRNA
AUGUCUUUGUUCCACAACAUUUAUCACGGGAAGUGGAAAACCUCCAUGUACCAAGGGCUCUCUUUAACUGGAAUGGGAACAGACAGAACGUUGAGUCCAUGGAGGAUCAGAGGAGAUCCUUCACCUGUGAAACUUUGCUCUGUCAUCUUAAAUUGCUUUGUAGGUCAGCAAUUUAAAACUGAAGAUAUAUGUGAAUAUAUGUGCUUGGAUUCAUGUCUGUUGGAGGCUGAGGUCAACAAAGGUUGUUGCUGACAUCCCUAUACUACACACAAUCUGUGGGGGAUGUGAGAGUUACAUCUGAGCACCCAAUGGAACGAUGAAAACAGCUACCUGAAGCAUCAUCACAGCGAAACAUUGCCGAGCAGGAUGGUACAGUACUGAUGAUACUCUGUUUUCCUAUUUGUUCUAUAAUUUUUAAAAUGAAACUAUGGGUCUCAGGAAUUGAUGUAAGAGUUCCAGCCUACUUGUUGCAUAACCUCUCCUUCCAUCUAAGUAAGUAACUUCUCAGAAACAUAAGCCUGAAUCAUCCUCAUUCUUAGCAUAGAGUAGAUUCAGCAAAAUGUGGUUCCUGAUGUUGGUUGUUCCAGACCACCCUGCAGGAACCUGGGAACCUGGGAUUCCAGCUCUCUGAGGGACAGAUCGUGGCUUAAGCAUCUCCACAUCUAAGUCUUGGCAAUCUGUCCUCACAUCUUCAAAUACCACUUUGAAGUAAACCCCGGCCCAGGAGCCGAGCAUAAAUCUUAAGUCCACUCCAGGACUGAAAAGACCCUGAGCCAAAAAGAAAGAAAGAGGAUAAUUUUAUGUUCUCACACUGUGGACACAGAUAGCUUUGGUCCUUUCCAUGGUCUGGGCCAUGCUUGUGUUCUUCCUGGAUACUCUUCAAAGCUGAGUGUGUUUGCAGAGGAUGCUCCUGGAUUUCACCCCAGCUGGCAGCAGGGCAACCAUGAGCAACUGGUUCCACCUUUGUGCAAGAGAAAUUUAUGCUCUCAGUGAAAUUACAGCCUGAGCAAGAGUUGGGUGUUACAUGCCUGUCACUGUGCUUUUCUUUCCAGUAGGCCUGCAUGCUGCAAAAAAAAAAAAGUCAGUUAAUUCUUGAGUGACAGUUUGAUAAUAUUUCUGCAUUUUUUUUUUAAAUUCACCUAGGUCUAGCUUAUUUUCUCACAGAUAAUUGCUGUACUUAUAAGCCUUUAUCAGCUGCCAAAUGUGGCCAAAGCAACCACCAAUCUCAUCAGAGUGCAAUUCACUGACACAAAUCCAAGCAUCUGCAAAUAUUCUGCAGUCAUGGUUCUAGAUGCCACUGUUCAUGUGUGAUGUCUUAUCUUUAAGGAUUAUAGCCACACUCCUUGGGAAAUGGCAGUCAAAGAAGAAAAAGGCAAUUGAAUAUGCUGUUUUUCAAGCACCGGAACUGAAGACAGCUCUGGGCUAGCAUCUUUCCCCCAACAAGAACUUCCACUCUUGAAAGUCUCUUGCCUUUUUUUUUCUGGUUUGAUGUCAUAAAUCAGACACCCAAGAGACAGAGAGGAACUAGGACAGAUUUUUCAAAUGCAACAAACAGAGCAAAUGUAGCUGGGUGUCUCAAUGUCAAUUCUCAGUGCCCCAAAGAUUAGAGAGCAAUGCUUUUUCUGAACUGGCACAGAGAGGAGGGGAAGGGGGGAGCCAGGGGGAAAAAAUAAAUAAAUAUCUAACUGUAAUUCCUUUUAGUUC